AACGAACGCUGGCGGCAGGCUUAACACAUGCAAGUCGAACGCCCCGCAAGGGGAGUGGCGCACGGGUGAGUAACGCGUGGGAAUAUGCCCUUCGGUUCGGAAUAACACAGGGAAACUUGUGCUAAUACCGGAUACGAUCUACGGAUGAAAGAUUUAUCGCCGAGGGAGUAGCCCGCGUAGGAUUAGCUAGUUGGUGAGGUAAUGGCUCACCAAGGCGACGAUCCUUAGCUGGUCUGAGAGGAUGAUCAGCCACACUGGGACUGAGACACGGCCCAGACUCCUACGGGAGGCAGCAGUGGGGAAUAUUGGACAAUGGGGGAAACCCUGAUCCAGCCAUGCCGCGUGAGUGAUGAAGGCCUUAGGGUUGUAAAGCUCUUUCGCCAGGGAAGAUAAUGACGGUACCUGGAAAAGAAGCCUCGGCUAACUCCGUGCCAGCCGCCGCAGUAACAC
rnacentral:rRNA from 1 species